rnacentral:lncRNA from 1 species
ACUGUUACGCAACGGAGGACUGUGAAUUGGGAGUUUAUUUUGUUUUUCAGUCUGUACUGGCAGCGAAUCAUACAUAGCUUAGUUUAUCAGACAAGCUGCUUUUCUUGAGCAAAGAAAGAACUAGGAGAGAAACGGGGCUUUGGAACCCUGAUGCGGCAAUGCUGAAAGAGGAGAAAUAUCCCAAGGAAGGGAAAGGUGUGUUGCAGAACGAUGAAAAAUAGGCGGCUUCUCACAGCUGUUCUCAGGGGACGAGACGGGGUGGGAUGCAGCUCCGCCGGUGCCUAACACUAAGGGCCCUCAUCCUGCCGAUUCAGUUGUGUCGGGACCGCCAGUGCUGUCUCCUCGUCAGAUGCUGCUUCUGGUCUCCCCGCAGAAGAUGCCACUGGAGUUGCCUUUUCAAGGAUGGGGACAUUUGAAGGCCCUGGACGCUCAGCUCUGAGGCUGGCUGGGAUCUCACUAGCACCCCCUGGUGGAGGCCGGAGCCAGGCUGACGCGGGAAAGUGGGGCACGGAAGCGCUGCGGAUUGGACCGGCGGCAGCUAGGCCGAAACGCCUGUAUUUAAAGGGAUAGUAACUCGGACUCGUUCUGCAAUAUCCCCACAAGGGCCUGACUGAGCGAGCGAGCAUGGACGGCCGCGGGGCUUUCUGGACAGUGGCCAUUCCCAGAGCCAGGCAGGAAGGCCUCGGGAGGCUGGGGCUCCCGUUCCCGGUGAAGCGGACGCCGCCAGCGCCCCAGAACCCAGGAGGAAGCACACAGGCCCCACAGAGAGUGGUUGGCAAGAGUCACUCGGGGAUUAGGAUGCCGGCCAAAUCGCGGAAUUUGAGGCUGGAAUCCAAGCUCAACAGGAAAGUAGUGAAAUACAAAUGGGGAAAACAGGGCUCUGGAGCGGGGAGGGAGCUGGUGCCGGCAUUUCCCACCAACGCCGGUUUAGGAAGACGGGACCGAUGCCGGCCGCCCCCUGCUGGAGGGGAUGUGGCAUCUCACGGGCUGCCAGGGAGCGGGGUUGGCUACUCCUGCAACCAGCGUGAAGAGGGUCUCAGGGGAGGCUGUGGUGGGAUCCCCCACGUGCCCUUGUUCCUCUCACCGUUACCUCUGGAUGCCUCGGGGCAAAGGCCUUCUUCCACCUAUAGACAGAGUCUACGCAGGGGUCUUGGAACCCGGGCACACCAGUCCCCAGCUAACGAAAUCCCCGAGUUGGGGGAUUUGAGAGGGUCACGUUUGGCCCAAGAACCCGCAGUCCUCUUUGGUCUUCGGCCCUCUAUUUCUAAGCGUGGGCUUCUGGCACGGCGGCUCUGGGCACAGCCCAUGCUGCUUUCGGGCUGGGUGGUUUCAACGACGACAACAAUUAUCACAGUGACGGUGACCUUCACCCCAACAGGACUGCUGUGUGUGAAGCACUCAAGAGGGCCCCUACAACCAACCUGCCAGGAGUCGGCUCCUGAAAACAGGGUCGGAAAAGGUCAGUGCCCAUCAGAAUCGAGCUGUCGGCAAAAAGCUGGAGAGGUUAGGAGCUUUGUCUAUCUCAAGGGUAACAAACUGCUUUGACCCUGAGGGCUCUGAAGACGACUUUCCCUCACCGCAGCUCUCAAGACAACAGGGAUCAGACUCAGAAAGACACUGCCUGUAUAAGGCUCUUGUUUGUCUUGUUUUUAAUUCCUGCCCUCUGCCUCCAGAUCUCAGUCCUCUAUCUGUGAAACGGAAUUCGGCCUUGCCUGUCCACGAAAUGAAGACAAGGCAUCUCGUGUGUGUUAAGAUGAAACAAGAUCUUAGCAAGAGAGUAAUGAUUUCUUUUUUAAAACAUUUUUUACUGUAGUAAAAUGUACUAUAACGUAAAAUUACCAUUUCAAUCAUUUGUAAGUUCAGUGGCAUUAAGUACAUUCACAUUGUCGGGCAGCUGUCAGAGGUGUUCGAACCAGAGCGACUCCAUCUUGAACAGGUGCUGCGCAAAAUGAGGCUGAGACCUGCUGGGCUGCAUUCCCAGGAGGUUAGGCAUUCUUCGUCACAGGAUGAGUCAGUGGCUGCCAGGGAGGCAGGUUGGUUACCCCAGGAACCAAUGAAUUGCAUCUCAGGGGAGGUUUUGCCAGAUACAGGUCACAAAGACCCUGCUGAUAAAACAAGAUGCGGUAAAGAAGCUGGCCAAAACCUACCAAAACCAGAUGGUGACAAAAGCAACCUCUGCUCGUCCUCACUGCUCAUUAUACACUAAUUAUAAUGUAUUAGCAUGGCAAAAGACACUCCCGCUAGUGCCAUGGCAGCUUACAAAUGCCAUGACAACAUCUACUUAGUUAAAUUUGCAUACUAUGAAUAUGAGUAUGCAAAUACCUGUUGGAGUCCCCGCUUUCAAAGCUUUGGGGUACACAUCCAGAAACGGAAUUGCUGGAUCAUAGGGUAAAUCUAUUUUGGAGGAAUAGUCGUACUGUUUUCCACAGUGACUGUACCAUUUUACAUUCCCACAAAAUUAUUUCUUUCUAUCUGCCUUCCCCCACUAGAUAGAACACAGGGAAGUUACUUUUUCGUUUCUAAAUCCCCAGCACCAGGAACAGUGUCUAGUUCAUAACAGAGCUCUAUAGAGAACUGUGGGGAAAGAAGUGCAAUUUAUAUGCUGCUGCCUCUUCAUUUGGCAUCUCAGUACGUGGCACACAGAAAGUAGGCACUGAAGAAGGGUUGAAGGACCUAAUGAGUACAUAAAUGAAUGCAGUUACCAUUGCUUUUUCCUUGGUCUAGACUGAGGACAGACAUUUUUGUAAAUUAAGCUACUUAGUUAAAUGUAGACCUCUGGCCAGUUUUGCUCAUCCAGAAGUUUCACUUUAAUGCCACUUCAAAGAUACUGUUUUCUGUAAAUCAGAUCAUAAUUGUGAUGAGAAUGAUGUGGGGAUGUGUCCUGGACUCUCCCCAUCCCCCACCUCACAGCCUAAUGUAUAACGCACAUUUUAUUCAGGACCAUUUUGGAUGUGUAGGAUCUGCUCCAGAACACAGGAUAAUGGGCCUCUUUUCUGGGGAUGGUGUGGUUCCAUCAUUAGAUAGCAGGUGUGUCAUCUGCAGGUACUGGUCUCACUAUUCAACCACUGGUUGAAAGAUUGGUUCAAGAUCAACUCUUUGAAAAAUCAAAGUAUUACUUUUACAAAUGCUUUUUUGAUAUUUCUCAACCAAUUAACCUUGAAAAGUUCACCAUGAAGUUGAAUUGCCUAAACUUAUACAUUGUAUGGGCACUGAGAUGCAAUUUUUAGGGCUGUGUGGGCAUCAGCGAUGCCUGUUUUCAAUACAUUGUAGCUAUGCUCAGUGUCAUGGGCCUUGUAGGGCUGACCUCUUUUUGUCCAAGCAUUGAAGCCAAUCUAAAACUCUUUUCCAAAAAGAAAAUGUUUUCUUUGCUAAUAAGUCACCAUCAACUGCAGCAGAGGCAGCUGUUUGGGCUUCACAAUUUGCGGAAGCACAUGCCAGCCUGGCUCUGUUUUGUGCUUGUUCACAGUAUAUGGCUUUGGCCUUGUUCAGCAUCAGGGAGUAGCUGUUCCUUGGGUCAUGCAUGGAGUUGGAUUUAACCCUGGCUUUCAGCUGGCCAGUCCUCAUCAGGAGCUUGGGCAGGAGAAAUAGUACUCUGGUGAAUGGUCUGAAGACAUUAGAUCAUAGAUGACCUUGGCUGCAAGCAACUAAAUCCAGACCACAACAGUUUAUCCAAAUAGGGUUAACCAAACAAGUACAAUGUGUACCCAAAUGAUAUCAGUGUCCCAUGAUCCUUCCAUCAUCCACUGGAUGAUUUCUUAAUUCAAAGUCAAACAAAAACAAAAGCAGAUUUGAAACAUUCUCAUCCAUCCUUGAAACUGGAUCACAUGCCAUGGUCUCGCUCUUUGAAGUGGUCAACUGAACAGCUGGAUACAUGGUCUGGAGCUGGGAGGAGGAGUGCCUUAGUCCAUUCCUGCUGCUAUGACAAAAUAGCUUAGACUUGGUAAUUUAUAAAUAAUAGACAUUUAUUUCUCAUUGUUCUGGUGGCUGGGAAGUCCAAGGUCAAGGUGCCGGCAGAUUCAGUGUCUGGUAAGCUCUCUGUGUCCAGGAUGACACCUUGUUGCUGCAUCUUCUGAAGAGGACAAAUGCUGUGUCCUCAUAUGGCAGAAGAGAUGCAGGGCAAAAGGGCCAAGAAGCCCUCUUGAGCCUCUUUAAUGAGGGCAUUAAUUCCAUUCAUGAGGGCAGAGCCCUCAUGACUUUGGGCCUUAACCCAAAAGGCUCCACCUCUUAAUACCAGCACAAUGAGGGGUCUGGCACUCUUCCUCAUGCUUACGAGAUGGCUGCUGGAAUUCCAGGAAUCACAUGCAAAUUCUAGUCAGGAGCAAAGAGGAAGAGACACAGUGAAAAGGGGUAUACAGCGGCAGAAGGAAGCUCCUCAAAUGAACUCUGCUAGAACUCUAGCCAGUAGCUUCUCCUUCUAUCACAGUGGCCAGAACUGUGACAAGUGACCAUCCUUAGGGGAAAAAAGAUGCUGAGAAAUGUGAAUUUUGUUGCCACCUUACAUUUUCAAAGGAGUUCCAUUCUUUUUCAGUCUGUAAGAGGGUGUGAGCAU